GUCAACCAAGGCAGCAACUCAUCUGGUCCAAUUUAAAACCAGAAUUGACUGGUGCCAGAUGGACACGGACCUAUUUUGCCGACACUCUGCCGGAUUGAGGCCCCCUUCCUGUGCCUCAACAUCCCACUCCACUGACUUGUGCCCUUGCGAGGCAGACCCUUCCACUUCUCACCACUCCUUCACCCCACACACAAGACAAGAAGGUGGGCAGACCCAUUGCGUUUCUGGGCAAGGCACAGGUGUGCAAUAACUUUAAUGCUUGUGCAUGCAGCUUCAGCGCAUGCAGGUUGUUGCACAUCUGCUUCAGAGCACAUACCAAGAUCAUGUGCCCGGCAGGACUUUCACCUAAAAAAAAAUGACUAACCGAGGUUAACAGACAUCGUGGCUUACUACCUGCGUUCCCACCCAGCCAGGCAUUUGGUAGAUUUUGUGACUGGUUUCUCACAGGAGUUUCACACGGGCCUCUUUGCCAUCCCCACAGGCACACUCGAAUGCCCUAACCUACUGUCAGCGUCUAACGACCCUCUUACGGUGGACCACCUACUGUCCACAGAAACCAAGGCUGGUCUCAUGAUUUGCCCUUUCACAGCAUCACCGUUUUCAUCCUGGCGUACCAACCCCAUUGGGGUAGCCGUGUACAAGUACUCAAAUAAAAAAAACACACCAAAAAAAAAAAAAAAAAGCAGCUAUUUUCGACAACCACUGAGACGGAUGCUUUGCCGGCAUUUAGAGUAACAUACUCAUUAUUCGCGAUUUACCCCAUCGUGGCGGCCGCCCAUACAUGGGGUCAUCUCUGGACCGGCAAGGCAGUUAAAUGCUACUCAGACAAUUCAGCAGCUUGUGAAAUUAUUAACAAGGGGCGGUCAUCCUCUCUAACCAUCAUGAGGCUGAUUCGCAAGCUGACUUGGCUGGCAGUAACCGCACAGUUCCACCUAGUCUGCGUACACAUUACUGGUAUCCAUAACAGCUGCUGACGCUCUUUCCUGCUCUCAAUUUCAGGUUUUCUUCCAGGCUCUCCCUACGACCCACCUCCUACCAUCCAGGAUACCACCUUUUCACAAGCUAAUCCUGGACUAAACGAGCUACUACACCACACUCAAGCACUCACCCAAACACCACUGUCACUUACGCUAGGGCACAAACUAUUUUUAAUAAGUUCAUUGCGGAGUUUUACUUGCAAGGAGACUUCUCCAUUAAAACCAUGGUGGCUUUUGGCUCCUGUCACCUACACCUCAAAUUAUCCCAUAAUACCAUUAAGCUUUACCAUACUGGAGUACACCACCAUGUCCUCACUAACUUUCCUAAUCACGCUCCUUUCUUAGCAUCAUACCCUAUUAAGAACAUCCUUAAAAAAAAAAAAAAAAAGUGUAUUCACAAGGUUAGUUCCCCGUCACUACCAGAUUGCCUAUAGAUGGGUUAAAUUUAGAU